GGAGGGUUUCUCUCCAGGAACAGUGUUGGAGAGCCUGUCACGAGGGACUAGGUGUGUGAGGAAGAAUCAGGCGCUGAGAGCAGAGAGUUCCACAGGAAGAGGUGCACUUUAAUAUGGCACAAAAAGCAAUGCCCACAACACAGGGACCAACCCACAACACAGGUACCAACCCACAACACAGGGGACCAACCCACAACACAGGGACCAACCCACAACACAGGGACCAACCCACAACACAGGGUACCAGGUCCAGAACACAGGGACCAACCCACAACACAGGGACCAACCCACAACACAGGGACCAACCCACAACACAGGGUACCAGGUCCAGAACACAGGGACCAACCCACAACACAGGGACCAACCCACAACACAGGGUACCAACCCACAACACAGGGACCAACCCACAACACAGGGACCAACCCACAACACAGGGACCAACCCACAACACAGGGACCAACCCACAACACAGGGACCAACCCACAACACAGGGUACCAGGUCCAGAACACAGGGACCAACCCACAACACAGGGACCAACCCACAACACAGGGACCAACCCACAACACAGGGACCAGCCCAGAACACAGGGACCAACCCACAACACAGGGACCAACCCACAACACAGGGACCAACCCACAACACAGGGACCAACCCACAACACAGGGACCAACCCACAACACAGGGACCAGCCCACAACACAGGGACCAACCCACAACACAGGGACCAACCCACAACACAGGGACCAACCCACAACACAGGGACCAACCCACAACACAGGGGACCAACCCACAACACAGGGUACCAACCCACAACACAGGGUACCAACCCACAAC
ensembl:lncRNA